AGAGUGCCCAGAACUUAGCUCAAUGUAUGUUAACAAGUAAUGGAAAUCUCUACUCAAACUGACUCGAACAUUUAGAAGAUGUAUUACAUAUUUUUUUAACAGGAAGCCGAGAGGCAGAGUAGGCGCCAUGGUUGGUUGACUGAGCAGGACGACACUGUCAUCAUCUCUCCAUUCUGCCAUCCUGAGUGGAGGCUUCGUUUUCAGGCUGGUUGCAAGAUGGCUACAGAAGCUCCUAACAUCACAACAAGAGAUAUGGGAUUAACUGGCAAACCAAGCCCUCACUCAGCGCGGUCCAAUGGGUCCUCAAGGUUCAAGAGUUGCGAGAGGCCCCACUGGGAAACCCAGGCCAAAGGGCACUUCAGGCUGUGAUGGCCCUGCUGGCCCUCCAGGUGAAAGAGUACGUAUAAUACAGCUACAUAAAAGAAGAUGAAAAUUGGUGUUUCUGCAAGCAUUUAGAUUUCAGGGAAAAGAUGUAUGUCUGCUAAUACAUGUGCAGAUUUAUCCACGAAAUCUAGUCUACAUUUACAAAUGCUUUUUAAUUUAUUCCCCUUCAACAAUAAAAAAACAGUAUGUUCUAAUUGUGUUAUAGAAAUGAGAGAAAUGUGUAUAUCACUCUUAUAGUCAAGCCAAAAUAUUUUAUGGCAUUACAUUUAUCAGUUUUCAACUGUGUUCUUAACUAUUUAGUCCAAGAUAAUUAAGAACUCUUGGCAGAAAAUGAAGGCAUAUUCGGGGUGAAAUAUCUCAUCAAUCACAAGGAACACAAGAAAUAUGUUCUUCCUAUAUAGAUGAAAACGAAAGAUGAGCCUGAACUAGUGCCCAGCAAAUCCAAAGGCACUAAAUCAAUUUGAAAGGCAGCAAAACUUUAGAAAGCAAAAAUGACCCUGUAAGAAAUCAGGAAAAUAGAGUUUGCUAUGGAACCGAAGGAAUAUUAUUUUUAAAAGUUUGUGUUUAAAGUGAAUUUUUGUUUAGGAAUCAUAGUUUAAUAAGAGUUUAAAAAUUUAUAAGUU
ensembl:lncRNA